rnacentral:rRNA from 1 species
UAGGGAAUCUUCCGCAAUGGGCGAAAGCCUGCCGGAGCAACGCCGCGUGAGUGAUGAAGGUCUUCGGAUCGUAAAACUCUGUUAUUAGGGAAGAACAAAUGUGUAAGUAACUAUGCACGUCUUGACGGUACCUAAUCAGAAAGCCACGGCUAACUACGUGCCAGCAGCCGCGGUAAUACGUAGGUGGCAAGCGUUAUCCGGAAUUAUUGGGCGUAAAGCGCGCGUAGGCGGUUUUUUAAGUCUGAUGUGAAAGCCCACGGCUCAACCGUGGAGGGUCAUUGGAACCUGGAAAACUUGAGUGCGGAAGAGGAAAGUGGAAUUCCAUGUGUAGCGGUGAAAUGCGCAGAGAUAUGGAGGAACACCAGUGGCGAAGGCGACUUUCUGGUCGGUAACUGACGCUGAUGUGCGAAAGCGUGGGGAUCAAACAGG